rnacentral:rRNA from 1 species
UGGGGAAUAUUGCACAAUGGGCGAAAGCCUGAUGCAGCAACGCCGCGUGAGUGAUGAAGGCCUUCGGGUUGUAAAGCUCUGUCUUUUGGGACGAUAAUGACGGUACCAAAGGAGGAAGCCACGGCUAACUACGUGCCAGCAGCCGCGGUAAUACGUAGGUGGCAAGCGUUGUCCGGAUUUACUGGGCGUAAAGGAUGCGUAGGCGGAUUUUUAAGUGAGAUGUGAAAACCCUAAGCUUAACUUGGGGACUGCAUUUCAUACUGGAAAUCUAGAGUGCGGGAGAGGAGAAUGGAAUUCCUAGUGUAGCGGUGAAAUGCGUAGAGAUUAGGAAGAACACCAGUGGCGAAGGCGAUUCUCUGGACCGUAACUGACGCUGAGGCAUGAAAGCGUGGGUAGCAAACAGGAUUAGAUACCCUGGUAGUCCACGCCGUAAACGAUGAGUACUAGGUGUAGGAGGUAUCGACCCCUUCUGUGCCGCAGUUAACACAAUAAGUACUCCGCCUGGGAAGUACGAUCGCAAGAUUAAAACUCAAAUGAAUUGACGGGGUCAUAGCUGUUUCC